AAGACCCUAUCAAACUUUACUUUAGUUUAACUGGGGCAGUUAAUUAAUAAAAAUUUUAAUAAAGAUUAAGUACUAAAUAGANNNCCCAACANUAGUUGAUUACANUGAACAAGUUACUGUAGGGAUAACAGCGUAAUAUAUAUCUAAAGUUCUUAUUUUGAUAUAAGUUUGCGACCUCGAUGUUGAAUUNAUAUUACUUUCAAGCGCAAGAGCCUGAAAAGUGGGUCUGUUCGACCCCUAAAUAUAUACAUGAUUUGAGUUCAAAUCGGUGUAAACCAGAUUGGUUUCUAUCUAUUNUUAUUUGUGUCUUAGUACGAAAGGACCUGAAACAAUAUUAUAUAAUNAUUUAUAUGGCAGAAAAAUGCUUUAGAUUUAGGAUCUAAUUAUAAUAGAUUAUUAUACUCUAUUUAACUUGCCUAAUCUCUGUUAUUAGAAUCCUAAUCGCAGUAGCUUUUUAUACCCUCCUAGAGCGAAA
rnacentral:rRNA from 1 species